rnacentral:rRNA from 1 species
UACGGAGGGAGCAAGCGGUAUCCGGAUUCACUGGGUGUAAAGGGUGCGUAGGUGGGUCUGUAAGUCAGUGGUGAAAUCCCCGAGCUUAACUUGGGAACUGCCGUUGAUACUAUAGAUCUUGAAUAUCGUGGAGGUAAGCGGAAUAUGUCAUGUAGCGGUGAAAUGCUUAGAUAUGACAUAGAACACCAAUUGCGAAGGCAGCUUGCUACACGGUCAUUGACUCUGAGGCACGAAAGCGUGGGGAGCAAACAGG